rnacentral:rRNA from 1 species
AUGGACGACGACGGCAGCUUGAGCAUUCGGAAUUGGGGCUUCUAUGAGACGAUGAAAGGCAACCUCGGCCUGCAGCUGAUGCCAUCUGUGGCCGGCGGCCACCGGGACACUAAGCCGCUGCUCCCCAACGGCACCUUCUUGCAGCACCACAACGCCCUGCACCACCCGCCACAUUCACAUCACCCCCGCGACUAUGGUAACGGCGAACCCUCUGGUGGCAUGCCCACCGAGCCGCCGGCUAUUCACAUGGAUUUUGUGCGCAAUGAGGCCUGGAUGCACCCCUCGCAGCAUCAGCAUCAGCAGCAGCACCAGCACCAUCACCAGAACCAACAUCAACAGCAGCAUCAGCAUCAGCAUCAACAUUCCCGUGAGCAGAAGGUCCUUCAUGCUGUUCCUCUUGGGCCUGCUGGACAUAUUGGACAUCCUGGACAUGCUGUGCAUCACCACCCUACAGGUUUUGGGAUGAUGCCAGAUGCGCGUGGUGCGCACACUCUCCAGAUGAUGCAGCCACAGGAGCCUCCUGUGCCCGAGGAGGAAAAAAUUGCCCCACCGUUGGUUGAAGAGCAUUCUGUGGUAGGAAGCAAGCCUCCGGUAAAGAAGAGGCAGCAAGGUCGUCAGCCUAAGUUGCCGAAGCCGAAGAAGCCUAAGAAGGUUGCUACUCCAGGGGAAGAUGGGGCACCCAAGGCCCGUGCACCCCGAAGCAGGGGUCCUCUUAAGCCUGUGGAAAUGGUAAUUAAUGGUAUUGAUUUUGACAUUUCAAGGAUACCAACACCUGUGUGCUCAUGCACUGGAGCUCCCCAGCAAUGCUACCGGUGGGGUGCAGGUGGCUGGCAGUCUGCAUGCUGCACAACUUCUAUUUCGACAUACCCGCUGCCAAUGAACACAAAGCGCCGGGGCGCACGUAUUGCUGGAAGGAAGAUGAGCCAAGGUGCAUUCAAAAAGGUUCUUGAGAAGCUAGCUGGUGAAGGGUACAACCUUAAUAAUCCAAUUGACUUGAAGACCUUCUGGGCCAAGCAUGGCACAAACAAGUUUGUAACAAUCAGGUAA